rnacentral:rRNA from 1 species
AGUGAACGCUGGCGGCAGGCCUAACACAUGCAAGUCGAACGGCAGCACAAGAGAGCUUGCUCUCUGGGUGGCGAGUGGCGGACGGGUGAGGAAUGCAUCGGAAUCUGCCCAUUUGUGGGGGAUAACCUCGGGAAACCGGGACUAAUACCGCAUACGACCUACGGGUGAAAGCAGGGGAUCUUCGGACCUUUCGCAGAUGGAUGAGCCGAUGCCGGAUUAGCUAGUUGGAGGGGUAAAGGCCCACCAAGGCGACGAUCCGUAGCUGGUCUGAGAGGAUGAUCAGCCACACUGGGACUGAGACACGGCCCAGACUCCUACGGGAGGCAGCAGUGGGGAAUAUUGGACAAUGGGCGCAAGCCUGAUCCAGCCAUGCCGCGUGUGUGAAGAAGGCCUUCGGGUUGUAAAGCACUUUUGUUGGGAAAGAAAAGCAGCCGGUUAAUACCCGGUUGUCAUGACGGUACCCAAAGAAUAAGCACCGGCUAACUUCGUG